GAAACAGCUGGCCACUGCCUACCAACCUGGGGACGAAGGUACUCCACACUGAUAUCAAAUGGGAGACUUCAUCUACGUAAGACGACAUCAGGUGUCAUCCCUGGAACCCCGCUGGAAAGGACCAUACCAGGUGCUACUUAUAACACCUACAGUGGUAAAGGUAGACGGAAUCACUUCCUGGAUCCAUGCCUUUCAUCUCAAGCCUACGCCCUGUCCAGACUCUGGCUGGAAAUUGGAAAAGACUGGUAACCCUCUCAAAUUGCGUAUUCGCCAUGUGGAUAAGGCUAUGGACUCUCCCCUUGACCACCAGUAGUCCUAACCCUCAUCAGCCCGUUCAGCAGCGAUGGCUGAUCACAAAUCCUACUAGACAAGAAGUAUGGUCUAUCUCGCAUACAGCCCCCUUAGGGACCUGAUGGCCAUCUCUCCACCCAGACAUUUGUCAGCUGGCUAUAGGUCUUUCCUAUUGGGAUAUCCCUGAUGAAGAGGAUCCCACUAAAAUUCCAUUAAAUCCCUUCCGUACCAUAGAUAAUGGAAACAAACAUUAUGGAUGUAGGGACACGCUAGCCAGAUGUAGGUUGGCUAGCCUAGAUUACUAUGUUUGCCCGGCAGACUAUCGAAGCCGCAAACAGUCACGGCUAUGUGGGGGAAAAGCCGACUUCUUCUAUAAGUCAUGGGGAUAUGAGCAUACAGGGGUUACCUGGUGGAACCCAAACUCCCCUGAUAGUCUGAUUCGGGUAAAAAAAAAUAAUACUAAGUUAAGUCCCAAACAAUGUCUCCCAUUUAAAUGGGACCCCCAAGUGGGGACUUCUAGACUAGCUGACCCUACUCCAUAUGACACAAGUAACCUAUGCAACCCCCUAAAUAUAACCUUCACCUCCAAAGGAAGAAACCAAAAUAUCUGGACAUGGCUUUCAGGAAAAACCUAUAGAAUGCAAUUUUACACCACAGGAUAUGAUUUUGGCCUUUGGUUCACUAUCCGGUUUGAAAGAAAAGAAAUUCCCUUAGCCAUAGGGCCCAAUCCCCUCAAGCCAGGAAUUGGGCCUCAUAGACCUCCCGAACUUAAAUCUACUAGGAUCCCUUCACUUUCCCAUACUCCUCAAGUUUCACCUUCGUUUACUUCCCCAAUUCAAAGUGAAGUCAACCCCUCCCCCUGGGGGCUAAUUGAAGGAGCCUUUGAGGUACUGAAUUCCACGAAACCAGACCUCACUCAGUCUUAUUGGCUCUGUCUCGCCGCUGCUCCUCCUUACUAUGAAGGGAUAGCAAUUGACGGGACUUAUGCAGUAAAAGUGCAGAAUUCCUCCUGGAAUUGGGAUAAAAAUCCUAAGUUAACCCUCCCAGAAGUAACCGGGGAAGGCUAAUGUAUAGGGUCCCCACCUAAAAGUAAACAACACUUAUGUACCCAGAUAAAAAAAAUUAGCACCACACAGGGUUUCCUUACCCCUGAAAAUGGAACCUGGUGGGCAUGUGACACAGGGUUAACUCCUUGCAUUUCAGCCCAGGUAUUUAACAGCUCUGUAAAUUAUUGUGUAAUGGUGCAGAUGUUUCCCAGAGUGCUCUAUCAUGACGCAGGUUCAUUUGAAAAUCAAAUAGGGGGGCAUACAACCCUGUUCCGCUGGGAACCUGUAUCCCUCACUUUAGCCAUCCUAUUAGGAAUAGGAAUUGCUGCAGGGGUGGGCACAGGAACCACUGCCCUGGUCCAUGGGACACAACAAAUGACCCAAUUAGAAGCAGCAAUAGACCAGAACUUAAAGAUAUUAGAAACCUCCAUCACAGCUUUGCAGGAAUCUUUAACCUCUCUCUCUGAAAUUGUUUUACAGAACAGGCGAGGGUUGGACCGCCUCUUCAUGAGAGAAGAGGACCUUUGUGCUGCAUUGAGGGAAGAAUGUUGUUUUUAUGCCUACCAUACUGGAGUUGUAAAAGAAUCUAUGAGUAAAUUAAAAAGACUCCUUGAAGAACGUCAACAAAAGAGAGAGGCCCCAAAAGGGUGGUAUGAGUCUUGGUUCACACAGUCCCCCUGGUUAACUAUGCUUUUAUCAGCCCUGGCCGGUCCUUUAAUAAUCCUCAUAUUAUUGCUAACUGUAGGACCCUGUUUGCUCAACCAUAUAAUUUCUUUUCUCCAAGCUCAAAUUGGACAAGUUAAACUUAUGGUAAUCAGACAACAAUAUACCCCACUAGCAGACAUAGAAUGUGACACCCCCCAAUGAUCACUUUUAUGAUUAAAAGUAGCCAGAAGAAGAAGUGGGGAAUGAAAGUUUAAUAAUCCUGAGAACUAUUUGCUAAUCUUGUUC
rnacentral:lncRNA from 1 species